rnacentral:rRNA from 1 species
UACGUAGGGAGCGAGCGUUGUCCGGAUUCAUCGGGCGUAAAGAGCUCGUAGGCGGCUUGGUAAGUCGGAUGUGAAACCUCCAGGCUCAACCUGGAGUCGCCAUCCGAUACUGCUAUGGCUAGAGUCCGGUAGGGGCCCACGGAAUUCCUGGUGUAGCGGUGAAAUGCGCAGAUAUCAGGAGGAACACCAAUGGCGAAGGCAGCUCGCUGGGACGGUACUGACGCUGAGACGCGAAAGCGUGGGGAGCAAACAGG